UCGACUCUUCUGGAAAAAAGUGGAAUCGAAGUGGCAGCAGCAGCGGCUGCCGCUCUGCACGCCACCGGCGCCCUCCGCUCCCGACUCCUCUCUACCACGGCAGCCUCGCCGCACACCGCCACACCCACACCCACCUCCACCUUCCUUCCUCCCCUUACCCCGUCUUCUACGAUGCCGACAUCGUCAAGUACACCGCCGGCGCCAUCCGUCCGCCAAGUCUGCAAUGCAUCUCCUGCCUACUCCUCCGGUGCAGCAGACUCGACGCCCAGCACAUCUCCCUUCUCACCGCCGUCUCCUGCUCCCCCUCCCCCUUCUCCUUCGACACCGACGUCGGCAAGUACGCCGCCGGUGCCGUCCGUCCCCGGAGUCCGCGAGGACUCUCCUGCUUCCCCAUCCGAGGCUCUGAUGCAGCAGUCCCGCCGCCCACCACCUCCCCUGUCCUCGCCGACCUCCACGUACGCUGCUACACACUACGCAUCCUCGGCGACAGCGCCGCCACCUACUACUCCCUCCCGGCAGACGCGCUCUAUGGCCAUCCCCUUCGAGUAUGCGCUGCUCCCCUAGGACCUCUAUGCCGUCUGCAAUUGGUCUCUCCUCCCACAUGAGUCAUCUGUUUCAUUACUUGCGCACCUGCUGCUAUCACCAUCCCGAUUGGAAGCCCUCAGCCUGGCAAGAGAUUUUUGUGAAUUGAAGUACUCGACCAUGUUUGGGUUCAAAUAGCAGUAUCCAAUCUACUACAUGGUGUAUCAAUAUCAGGUUCGUAAUUUCUGCAUGUUUCCUGUCUAGGCCUUUGAAUUGUAACUAAGAUCUCCAUUGAUGAGUCAUAGGACAAGGUAAGAUACAGAACCAGCCGGCACACAAAGGCCGGCUUGAUCUAUUUCAGUUUUGUAGUGUACAUCCGUUACAGCUUACAAGUGCACCUAAGACAACAAAAUAAGCACCAAGUGAUUUUGACAUUAACUCCGGGUCAAAAUCUGGGCUUGCAAUGCUUCAGUUCUUGGGGUUCUCACAGUUCUAGAUUAUUUUUCUUGAGCACUUGGCGGAACUGAACCUUCUAGAUCACCAUCCGUGCUUCCACGAACUUCUCCUUCAGGAUGUGCUUCAAGGAGGCCCGGGGUACUCCAUGCAGCCCCUGAAACCCCAAUUGAAUUGGAUGUUCGUGGAGUUGGUAUGGUCUAAUCGGCAAAACAUUGCUGCCAGUUCCCUACAUGUGUAGUACUGCACUGCGAUGUUUCUCCAUUGCAUAGAGUGCAGUUAGCCAGGUACUGAUUAUAAAAAAAUCAUUGGUACGUAUCCAUGCAGUUUGUUUAAUUUGGCCAAGACAAUCACACGUUUUUGAGCAUAUUCUUCAUAGAGCCAUGCCCAUAGUUUUGAUGAUGAAUAUUACAAGCUACAGAUUUAAGUCUAUUUCCAACACAAAGUGUGACAUCAUGUUUUAUCUGCUCAAAUUAUGUUUCGAUUAUGCAUGAAUCUAUGUUGAUAAUUAACCUAUGAUGCCUACUUUCAGUUACCAAUUAAACAUAUUGGGUUACAUUUGCUUCUUUUUAUUAAGCAGGAAAUGUAAGAGAGAUCAGACUAAAAAUUCCUGCUUCCUCUUGCUAUUAUAUAUCUUUGUAAUUUGUAAACACUAUUAUGCUUGCUGCUCUGCCAUGAGCAGUUAUAGUUUCUGGUUGCUCCUUUGGUGACACAAUAGCUUUAAUUCGUUGCUUGGCACCCUCAUGCUAGAUUACAUGCAGGCAUGUGCGCUGUCAGGAAACUGUGCGGACAGUGGGUCAACAUGUCCAUGGUCAUUACCUAGCUCGUGCUGCACCGAUGCUGCUGGUCGUUGUUGUUGAUGACCUCCAGCAUAGUUAUGUUCAUGUUACAGGAGAAGGUUGAGUUCUGCAAGAGAGACUGGACAUGUGCAUACUACUUGGUGAGUGCAGGUCAACUGGGACUCAUGGGACUUCCAGCGUGGAUGGAACGAGACGCUCAUGUCCCCGCCUUUCCAAAUGGCCCUAAGAUACAUGUGUUGUCGAACAUGAGACUCCCUAAGGUGUGGAGCUAGAAGAGGUGGCGUUUCCAAAGGCAGUGCCGGCUAAUGCAUGGAUGGCCAACGAAGCUAAUGCAUGGAUUUUUUAAAAAUAAAGAUGUCAAGGCACAACUUGCUGGCGGAACCAAGCAUGUUGACCAUUGCAAUUUGAACGCAUAUAUUAUCGAAAAUGGGAUGAUUUGUGUAGUUUUAUAGCAAAUACAAAUGCGCUUUUGGAUGUAAAUUUUGCGGCAACACGCUUUGGAAUUAAAUGGAUGGGUGAAUGAAGAGAGGGAAAAAAACGUAUGU